rnacentral:rRNA from 1 species
CCUACGGGUGGCAGCAGUGGGGAAUAUUGCACAAUGGGGGAAACCCUGAUGCAGCAACGCCGCGUGAGUGAGGAAGUAUUUCGGUAUGUAAAGCUCUAUCAGCAGGGAAGAGAAAAGAAGGUACCUGAAAAAGAAGCCCCGGCUAACUACGGGCCAGCAGCCGCGGUAAUACGUAGGGGGCAAGCGUUAUCCGGAUUUACUGGGGUUAAAGGGAGCGUUGACGGAAAGGCAAGUCAGAAGUGAAAGCCCAAGGCUCAACCAUGGGAGUGCUGUUGAAACUGUCAGACUAGAGUACGGGAGAGGUAAGAGGAAUGCGUAGUGUAGCGGUGAAAUGCGUAGAUAUCAGGAGGAACACCGGUGGCGAAGGCGUCGUACUGGAGCGAAACUGACGUUGAGGCACGAAGGCGUGGGGAGCGAACAGGAUUAGAUACCCUUGUAGUC